UACGGAGGGGGCUAGCGUUGUUCGGAAUUACUGGGCGUAAAGCGCACGUAGGCGGCUAUUCACGUCAGAGGUGAAAGCCCGGGGCUCAACCCCGGAACUGCCUUUGAAACUAGAUGGCUAGAAUCUUGGAGAGGCGAGUGGAAUUCCGAGUGUAGAGGUGAAAUUCGUAGAUAUUCGGAAGAACACCAGUGGCGAAGGCGACUCGCUGGACAAGUAUUGACGCUGAGGUGCGAAAGCGUGGGGAGCAAACAGG
rnacentral:rRNA from 1 species